AGUAAAAUGCCUGAUUAAAGGGUUAUCGUGAUAGGAUAAAUAAUGUAAUUAUAUUACUUUUACUA
rnacentral:tRNA from 1 species